rnacentral:misc_RNA from 1 species
GUUUCCGUAGGUGAACCUGCGGAAGGAUCAUUCAUAAUAAGUGUUUUAUGGCACUUUUUUAAACCCAUAUCCACCUUGUGUGCAAUGUCAGGGUUGAUUUUUCUCUCGAGAGGAUCAACCCCAAACAUCAACUAUAUCUCAACUCUUUGUCUGAAAAAUAUUAUGAAUAAAACAAUUCAAAAUACAACUUUCAACAACGGAUCUCUUGGCUCUC